UGGCGAGAAGGUCACACCCGUUCCCAUCCCGAACACGGUAGUUAAGCUUCUCUGCGCCAAUGGUAGUUGGGGGUUUCCCCCUGCGAGAGUAGGUCGCUGCCGGGC
rnacentral:rRNA from 1 species